UUUAACAGCUGGAACUUUGCCAGGUAAGCAGGAUAUGUAUUCUGUAGGCAUAGGAUUAGGAUAGGCCACAGUCUUUUCCUCCAAGUUGGUUAUGGAUUGUGCGUGGUUGAAAUUUUUGUCGGCAUAAUCCAAACGAAGCGAGAUAUUAAUGUUGAGUUAUUUAUUGCGACAUUUACUAGUUGCUGAUUUUUGGCCACUUUUGGAGUCAUUUUACACGUUACAAGAUGCUGGCAUGCACACCUACAGCUUAUAAUCUAGGUUGAACGAAUUAAUGUAUUUUUGUAUUGAUUUCCUUGAACCAGGGAUGAAAACUGUAGUCUGG
rnacentral:misc_RNA from 1 species